rnacentral:lncRNA from 10 species
CAUGCCUGUAAUCCCAGCACUCUGAGGCAGGUAGAUCAUAAGGUCAAGAGAUCAAGACCAUCCUGGCCAACAUCGUGAAACCCCAUCUCUACUAAAAAUACAAAAAUUAGCUUGGUGUGGUGGCACACGCCUGUAGUCCCAGCUAUUUGGGAGGCUGAGGCAGGAGAAUUGCUUGAACCUGGGAGGGAGAGGCUGCAGUGAGCCGAGAUGGCACCACUGCACUCCAGCUUGGCAACAGAGCAAAACUCCGUCUGACAAAAAAAAACAAAAAAGGAAACAAAGCUACUUUGUUUUCCCUCCCUCCUCCCUCAGUCUGUGGACUGAGACUCAGGGCUGCCAGAGCUGUUCCUGGGAUGGACACAGGGUCUCACCCACACGCAAAAGCUGCUAUGUCUGAACUCUAAGCAUCUUUAAUACAGGCACACACGUGCACACACACACUGGUGACAGCAGAUGUGUCUCCCAUGGUGACCCCCAGCCUUGCUUUCACUCUUCCUUGUGCAUGUCAGGGGGUCCGAGCAGGCCAGGAACCCUGGCCUCAAACACUGACAAGGGGUGAUUUGAGUGGCUUCGGUGUGCCCGAGUGCAGGGCUGAGGCCACGCUUUUCCGUUGAAGAAGGAGUUUCAGGAUUUGAUAAAUGACUGUUUAAUGCUGGCAGGAGAGUUGGCUCAUCAUUGGGCAGCAACAAUCAUCAUAAUUAGAGACAGGCUAGAAGCAGAAGGCCCAGCCCUGCCGUCCUGCACUGCCUCAGAGCCUGACUCUUCUACGCUAACCCUUUCUGGGCCUUGGUGCUGCAGGAAGCCAGGGGCAUCAUCCAGAAAGAAGAAUGUUCUCCGGGCAGCCGGCUGGGACCUCUGUGGAGCCAUGAGCCUGGGUGUCAAUGGGUCAUUAAGCAAUGCAGGAGAGGGCAGGAGAGUGGCUGAUGUGUGCUGGGGACCCAGCCCAGGUGAGGAGCAGCCACCGUGCAGCGUGGAGCGUCACAGCCUUGCCAGGUGCUCAAUUAAUGUCUGGGGAGAAAAGGAAGUAAGAAAAGGAAGGAAAGAAGGAAUGAGGAUGGCCAGGCGGGGUGGCUCACGCCUGUAAACCAGCACUUUGGGAGGUCGAGGUGGGCAGAUCACGAGG